UUAUAGACGAUGAUUAAGAGAAAGUAUUUAAGUUAUCUUAAGAGACUUAGCGGUUGGUGAGAGCUAAGGUUAGCUAAUACUUAUACACUUAUGAGUUUCCAUAUGAAAAGUAUGGACGGUGAAUCCGUUAUCUUAUUGAGUGCUAGAUUAUAUCUAGAACAAAGGUGGUACCACGGAUAUUAGUUCGUCCUUUAU
rnacentral:ncRNA from 1 species